rnacentral:sRNA from 1 species
GCCGGGCGCGGUGGCUCACGCCUGUAAUCCCAGCACUUUGGAGGCCGAGGCAGGCGGAUCACCUGAGGUCAGGAGUUCAAGACCAGCCUGGCCAACAUGGUGAAACCCUGUCUCUA